rnacentral:rRNA from 1 species
GUGUCAGCCGCCGCGGUAAUACAGAGGUCCCAAGCGUUGUUCGGAUUCACUGGGCGUAAAGGGUGCGUAGGCGGCCGGGUAAGUCUGCUGUGAAAUCCCGCAGCUCAACUGCGGAACUGCAUUGGAUACUAUCCGGCUAGAGGAAUGGAGGGGAGACUGGAAUUCUCGGUGUAGCAGUGAAAUGCGUAGAUAUCGAGAGGAACACCAGUGGCGAAGGCGAGUCUCUGGACAUUUCCUGACGCUGAGGCACGAAAGCCAGGGGAGCAAACGGGAUUAGAAACCCGUGUAGUCC